rnacentral:rRNA from 1 species
UGCUCCACCGGAAAAAGAAGAGUGGCGAACGGGUGAGUAACACGUGGGUAACCUGCCCAUCAGAAGGGGAUAACACUUGGAAACAGGUGCUAAUACCGUAUAACAAUCAAAACCGCAUGGUUUUGAUUUGAAAGGCGCUUUCGGGUGUCGCUGAUGGAUGGACCCGCGGUGCAUUAGCUAGUUGGUGAGGUAACGGCUCACCAAGGCCACGAUGCAUAGCCGACCUGAGAGGGUGAUCGGCCACAUUGGGACUGAGACACGGCCCAAACUCCUACGGGAGGCAGCAGUAGGGAAUCUUCGGCAAUGGACGAAAGUCUGACCGAGCAACGCCGCGUGAGUGAAGAAGGUUUUCGGAUCGUAAAACUCUGUUGUUAGAGAAGAACAAGGAUGAGAGUAACUGUUCAUCCCUUGACGGUAUCUAACCAGAAAGCCACGGCUAACUACGUGCCAGCAGCCGCGGUAAUACGUAGGUGGCAAGCGUUGUCCGGAUUUAUUGGGCGUAAAGCGAGCGCAGGCGGUUUCUUAAGUCUGAUGUGAAAGCCCCCGGCUCAACCGGGGAGGGUCAUUGGAAACUGGGAGACUUGAGUGCAGAAGAGGAGAGUGGAAUUCCAUGUGUAGCGGUGAAAUGCGUAGAUAUAUGGAGGAACACCAGUGGCGAAGGCGGCUCUCUGGUCUGUAACUGACGCUGAGGCUCGAAAGCGUGGGGAGCAAACAGGAUUAGAUACCCUGGUAGUCCACGCCGUAAACGAUGAGUGCUAAGUGUUGGAGGGUUUCCGCCCUUCAGUGCUGCAGCUAACGCAUUAAGCACUCCGCCUGGGGAGUACGACCGCAAGGUUGAAACUCAAAGGAAUUGACGGGGGCCCGCACAAGCGGUGGAGCAUGUGGUUUAAUUCGAAGCAACGCGAAGAACCUUACCAGGUCU